rnacentral:rRNA from 1 species
GAUUUUAGCAUGGAAUAAUGAAAUAGGACGUGUGGUUCUAUUUUGUUGGUUUCUAGGAUCGACGUAAUGAUUAAUAGGGAUAGUUGGGGGCAUUAGUAUUCAAUUGUCAGAGGUGAAAUUCUUGGAUUUAUUGAAGACUAACUACUGCGAAAGCAUUUGCCAAGGAUGUUUUCAUUAAUCAAGAACGAAAGUUAGGGGAUCGAAGACGAUCAGAUACCGUCGUAGUCUUAACCAUAAACUAUGCCGACUAGGGAUCGGAUGAUGUUAAUUUUUUAAUGACUCAUUCGGCGCCUUACGGGAAACCAAAGUGUUUGGGUUCCGGGGGGAGUAUGGUCGCAAGGCUGAAACUUAAAGGAAUUGACGGAAGGGCACCACCAGGGGUGGAGCCUGCGGCUUAAUUUGACUCAACACGGGGAAACUCACCAGGUCCAGACAUAGUAAGGAUUGACAGAUUGAGAGCUCUUUCUUGAUCAUGUGGGUGGUGGUGCAUGGCCGUUCUUAGUUGGUGGAGUGAUUUGUCUGCUUAAUUGCGAUAACGAACGAGACCUUAACCUGCUAAAUAGCCAGGCCCGCUUUGGCGGGUCGCCGGCUUCUUAGAGGGACUAUCGGAUUUCAAGUCGAUGGAAGUUUGAGGCAAUAACAGGUCUGUGAUGCCCUUAGAUGUUCUGGGCCGCACGCGCGCUACACUGACAGAGCCAACGAGUACAUUUCCUUGGCCGGAAGGUCUGGGUAAUCUUGUUAAACUCUGUCGUGCUGGGGAUAGAGCAUUGCA